GAGCUAAUCACAUCAUACCUGAGACCAUUCCGAGGGAAGCUGUUAUGACAUCAAAACACCCGCCUUACUAGUAAGAUCUUCAGGUUGCCAAAUCAAGCGCUGGAAAGAUUAAAAAUGCCAGAAAAUCUGAUCUGUGAAUACAUGUGAUUAAUCACAACCACCUUUGAACUACCCUCUUCUUGAGAGGACUGCGCGGGGGGAGGAGGGGGGCUGGAAGCCUCAUCUCAUUGAAAUUCAUUAGGAGGCAGAGUUAACAGUGCAUUGGGUUGAAGAUGAGACAAACUGUCACCUCUCCUGUUGCUGCUCUAGGCCAGACAAUUUCUGCAAGGCUGAACAAACCAUGCAACACAGCUGUGUGUUUUCAAAGUGGUGGCUGAAAUUCUACAUUUCCUUUGGUAAUGAAAGUUGAGACUUGGCAGAAUCAGAAGGAAUCCAACAUUGCAGAAAAAUGAACCAGAAAGGAUCAACAACUUGUUGAUGUUUGCUGGAAUCAGCUGGGCAUCCAUGGAAAAAAAUAUCCCAACCUGCCUGAGGCUGAAAUGCUGUUGGGGAUGAUGGGACUCACCUGCCACCAGAUCCGGAUUUGGUUCCAGAAUAGAAGGGGGAAGCACCGGAGACUUUACACUGGAGACGGGACACCUGGGAGCAGUCUCUGUACCCUGCAGUGCUGUGCACACUCCUGCAAUGAUCCAUUCUCCCUGUUUCAUAGGCCAGCACCUCCUGGAUACCCAGGACCUGAUCCAGGGAUGCAAUGGGCUCUGCAGGGACCAGCAAACUUUGCAUUGACUCCAGAAUCAACCUGCCUCCCCUUCAGCCAGCUCCCAGCUGUACUUCCAGGGCUACAACAAACAGGCCCCAGAAACCAGCAUAGAAACCUCUCCCCCUGCUGUGCAACCAGUGGCUAUUGUCUCUACUUCCUCCUCUACCCACAGGUUCAGUCCAUGCGGUCUCUGGAGCUGUCACUGUUAAUCACUCUGCUCUCUUCAUGGACACAUGUUGACACCCAGGGAGUAACUUCAGCUUUCCUGUCUGGAUUCCCCACUGGCUCUGUUUCCCAGCCUGAAUCGUGGAGUUCUCAGGCUCUUUCACUUCCAAGGAAUCUCUGACACUCUUCACUCAUGAAAACACCAAGAUUCCUUCAGACUAAGUGAAAAGCUGGGCAGAGGGAGAGGGAAAGAGCUGUGGUUUAAGUGUU